CCCACCCCCUCAGCUGAGCUCUACACAUCACAGGGCUGUGGGGGCGGCUGACCGCUGUGGAAGACCUGGAGAUUCUCAGAGACAUCAGGAAGGCGGGCGUGUUUGUCAGGAGCUGAGACAGAUCCAGCCCACAGCGCGCCAUCAGCCAAGAUUUGUUUAAUGAAUGAGGCUCAGAGACAUACAGCAACAGCUCAGGGUCACACAGCAAAUCUGUGAGAGAGAAGGACACAGGAACUAGGGCCACCUGGGCUGUGGUGGCCAGCAGGAAGAAGAUGCAUUCUGCUUAACUCAGGGCUCCUGGGCUCUCAGCUGCAGAUGCCUUGCAGGGGACAUCGUCCUCUUGAGUCCCACAGGCCAGGAAGGACAAUAGAUUCUGGAGACACUUCAGGAAAAACACAUCACCUCCAGAUAGGGUACUACUCACGGUUUCUGGGACUCAUGAGAAUCUUGGGUCCCAUCCUUUACAGAGCCUGAGCUUCCAUGUUGGAGUGAGUGCCAGCUGGGGAUUGCCCCCAGAUCUAGCCUGGUGGGAGAGCAGGGAACCCCCGCUGGAAACCUGGCUGGCUACACAGGCUCCUGGCAACAGAAACCAUGAGGUCACCCGGAGGCAAGAGAGACUGGGAAGGACAGAGCUGGUCCCUAAAGGUCACACAAGAGGUUUGGUUUCUACCAUGGAAAAUGGGAGGAAGAAGCCAGGCUUGAAAGUGUCCCAGAAGAGGAAGGGAGGGAGGGCCUGGGCUGGCCAGCCCCACCUGGGUGCGAACAGUUGGAACAAAAACCCACCCCACCCUGGCUGCCCUGGUGCCUGGCCCUGUGGGAUCCUAAAGACAGUGGUCACCCUGCUCAAGGCUUGUGGCUCCUGAUCUGCCUGGUUGCUUUUGUCCACAAAAUCCUAAUUGUUUACCAAGUAAUGACAGAGUGGUGGGAGUGUGAGGGGCCGAUCCUCGUAUGGAGGGAGGAAUACAAACAGGCAUCAGCAGCCCCUAGGGCUCACUUGGGCUGUGUCCCUGUGGUCCUUAGCUCUCUCAGACCACCAGUCUCUCUCUCACACUGGUUCGAUAACUCUUUCUCACAGGUAGCCCCUAAGUUCAAUAGGCAAGGAUGCGUGAAGCAUCAACCUAUUUAACAGUCAUUAGGGGAACACCUAUCCCAAGAAUGCAAUGGCAUUGAGUGUACACAGAGGGAAACCACUCACUUGCUGGCUGCCUCUUGGUCUGCCUCUCAGCACCUGAGACUGUGCCUGCCAAAUGGAUGCUCCAAAGUUUGGGGCUAACAGGAGAAAGGAAAUAAGCCAGGGAGGGCCUCGUGGCCUCGUGUAAACUUACUCUGCAUUCUGGGCUUGGAUCCUGGCCUCCGGGUCCUCUGAAAAGCUCUAGGUCUUGGAUGUGGGAGUUCCGCAUUCCAGGUUCUAGAUUCUAGGCCUCGUAUGCCAGGGUCUGGAGUCUGAUGUCUGGAUUGAAGGCCUCAUUUUAGGGUUCUUGCUAGGUUCUAGGUUCUGAGCUCCAGGAGGGCUCUGGAUGUGAGGAACCUGCCUGUGGACUCUGUGGUUCUGGGUUUAAGGGUUCCAUGCUCUGAGCUCUUCAGUUUGGAUGUGGGUGUCUAGGCUCUAGACUCUGAGCUAUAGAUCCCUAAGUUUUUGAGUCCAGGGCUAUGAUUCCUGAUUCUUGGGUUUAAACUACAGAUUCUAGACAAGUGGCUGUCAACUUUGCUAAUGCUGUGACCCUUUAAUACAGUCCCUCAUGUUGUGGUGACCCCAACCAUAAAAUUAUGGCCCUGGUCUCACAAGGGCCACCAUACUGGCCUUCUGGCCUCCUCCUCCUCACUGCAGCCACAGUGAAGACAGGAGCAGCUUGCUGUCUUGUCCCCAGAUUUCAACUAUAGGGUUGUGUGUUUAUUUGAUAAAGGAUGGAUCUGGGAGUAGAUAUGCAUGCAUGUGUGUGUGGUGGUGGGGGGGGGGUUAGCAACCCCCUUUUGCCACAUACUGUUAUAGGUGUAGGAAGCCUCAUCAGUGAGAACAAAUAGGAACCACUUCAAAGGAGAUCAUGUUCCAGGUAUGAGAUGUAAUGAUACUUCUUGGUUCAGGGCAAACUUGUCUGGCCCAAAGUUCAGAAUGGACAGUCUAGAACAAUGGUUCUCAACCUGUGGGUUUCGACCCCCUUGGGGAUUGAACAACCCUUUCACAGGUGAGACCAUUGGUGGCCCAGGACACCAGUGACUGCCUGCAUCUGGGAUCCACACAUUGGCCAAGGGAAACCUUGAUGAAAGAUUCUAGGCAUGUGAUUAGUGACAAUUGCUGAGAUCACUGCCAGGGACAACUUUGUGUACAGGCCAGUGACUGGACACAUCACUGACCAGAUGCAAUGAUAGCAUACUGGUGAUUGGUUAGCAAUCAGUGACAGGGUGAUCAAGUUUGCCAGUGAACAGAUCUGACAACCUGGUACCCUAGAAACCAGAGCUGACCACACCUGGGGGAACCUGAGUGGUACAGGGCAGUUAUUGGCUCUCUGAAAAGCCCAAACGGGCACCUUGCUGAGCUCUCGGAAAAGGAGGCUGGAGAAGAGCCCUGUCCACGCCCCAUGUACCUUCCCUGAAAGACAAGAGACAGCAGAAACAAGGUCACUUGACAGCUCAAGCCCCAUCAGGGAUGUGGGGUCUCAGGGACCCACUCGACAGGCUGCAGCAUUCACAAAAAAAGUAUUUUAUUAUUUUUAACAGUAUUCACUUUAAAGGAAUAGGAGGGUAGCAUACAAUUUUUACAGACAAUAUUUAAAUGUUGUACAUAGUUAACAAUAACUUAGGUCACUAAACCAAAAUAAAACAAGCCAAAAACAUAAAAACAGAAAAUACUGCCGAUUCUUUUUCUUAUGCGGGUACUAGCACAAAAUAAGUUACUUCCGGUUAUGGUGCGCUGCAGCAACUGGACUCCAAUAUUGCACUUAGUUGACUUAGCACAAUUGUCUUCCCGGGCUAGGGGCCCCUUGCUGGCCGCUGCACCACCGCCACCGCACACAGAAUCGGAGCUUGGGACACAUUUUAUGUACAGCUGUUGUACCUUGAAGGAUCCAGCCAGCCACAACAGAACAGAACCCCCGGGGAUCACGGGGCCACUGCCUGCCCGUCCCCUGUCCCCCAGCAACCAAGAGCAUAAGAUCCCUCUUGUCCCCAGCCUCCUGCUAGGGCCCUGGGAUCCAAGAACUAUUCAAGAAAGAACCGUGAAGCUCAGCCUUGGUUUGUAGGUUUUAUUCCUUUUCAUACUGGGGCUUCUGUGGCAACGUACAAUUGACUGGACCCAAAACGAGUUUAAAAAUAAAACCACUCAUCAGUGAGUUAAGCUUA